GCCCACGUAGCUCACUUGGUAGAGCAGGGCUUUCGUAAAGCUCAGGUAGUGGGUUCGAAUCCCUCCGUGGGCUCCA
rnacentral:tRNA from 1 species